rnacentral:rRNA from 1 species
GACGAACGCUGGCGGCGUGCCUAAUACAUGCAAGUUGAGCGCUGACGGCUGGUACUUGUACCAACUGGAUGAGCAGCGAACGGGUGAGUAACGCGUGGGGAAUCUGCCUUUGAGCGGGGGACAACAUUUGGAAACGAAUGCUAAUACCGCAUAAAAACUUUAAACACAAGUUUUAAGUUUGAAAGAUGCAAUUGCAUCACUCAAAGAUGAUCCCGCGUUGUAUUAGCUAGUUGGUGAGGUAAAGGCUCUACACGGCGAUGAUACAUGGCAGACCUGAGAGGGGAAUCGGCCAAGUUGGGACGGGGACAUGGCCCAAAACCCUACGGGAGGGAGCAGGAGGGAAUCUUUGGCGAGGGAAGAAAGGCUGACCGAUCGACGCCGCGUGAGAGAAUAAUGCUUUCGGGUCGUAAAACUCUUUUAGGAGAGAGGAUCGUUGGUGAGAGUGGAAAGCUCAUAAAGUGACGGUAACUAGCCAGAAAGGGACGGCUAACUACGUG